rnacentral:rRNA from 1 species
AGUGAACGCUGGCGGUAGGCCUAACCAAUGAAAGUAGAACUCCAGCACAGUAAGAGCUUGCUCUUACGGGUGGCGAGUGGCGGUCGGGCGAGUAAUUCAUCGGAAUUUUUUUUUUAGCGGGGGAUUACGUAGGGAAACACACGCUAAUAUCGUAUACGACAUCCGGGAGACAGACAGGGAUCUUGGGACCUUCCGGGAUUGAAUGAGACGAUGUCGGAUUGGCUAGUUGGCGGGAUCAAGGCCCACCAAGCCGACGAACCGUAGCUGGUCUGAGAGAAUAAUCAGACACACUGGAACUGAGACACGGGCCAGACUCCUACGGGAGGCAGCAGUGGGGAAUAUUCGACAAUGGGCGCAAGCCUGAUCCAGCCAUACCGCGUGGGUGAAGAAGGCCUUCGGGUUGUAAAGUCCUUUUGUUGGGAAAGAAAAGCAGCAGGUUAAUACCCCGCUGUUCUGACGGUACCCAAAGAAUAAGCACCGGCUAACUUCGUG